AGCUUCUGCAAUCAUCGCCUGUUCAUACUUAAACACAAACUGAAGAGCAACUUGUAGAGUUUAUUUAAAAAAGAAAGAAAUUUAUUCAAGACAUCCAUCAGAAGAUUUUCAGCUUAUUUCUACAAUGAUUUCAACCAGAAGACUCAUCGUUAUCUUCAUUGCAACUCUAGCUAUGUUUGCAACCUUAAUAAAUGCGAAACCAGCAACGAUUCGCCCAGCAGGCGCCAUAACAGCGUAUCCUAUACCACAGCGACCACCAUACGCACCAAAUCCAUGGGUUUAUCCAAAACCCACGGUCGAACCAAUUCAUCAAUGAAAAUCAUAAAGGUGGAAGGUCUAGGUGGAAGAAGAAAUAUGUAGCAAGGAAAGAAUAUUUAGUAAGUUCUUGGAAUUCCUUUCCAUAAUUACCAGACUGUGGCUUUUUAUAAAAAUUCGCAUCUUUAUAAACUUAAUGAAACAAAUUUCACACGAUCUAAGUAAUACUUUGUUUCAUCCACUGAAUAUUACAAUAAGUAUUAUAUUUUUGAUAUUCUUUUGCAUUCUUGUAAUUUUACAUUUUCUAUAGAUGAAUAAAAAUCAGCAUUUUAAUAAUUAUCAUAUGAAUUCGAUAAAAGUCAAUAGCUAGUUGACUAGAGGAAGAUUGCAAAUGAAACGUGUUAACGCACUGUAAACUGUAAGUCAUUCAUGAGUUAACCAUGGUCAGGUACAAUUUACUAACCAGAUCACAUGUGUUGUACACGAAGAGCAAAUGAAAUAAAAGAAAGAGAGAGAGAGAGAGAGAGAGAGAGAGCAACUUCUCGAGUACGUGUAAUAAUAUCGGGUGUCCAAUUCGUCAUUCAUUACUUUGUAAAAGUAUUAUAAACUAUUGAAAAUAAUCAAACGAAACACAAUUUUAUUUGGUUUGCGUUUGGUUAUAUAUAGAAGUAUAGAUUGUAUAACGUAUACAGAGUGUUAUGUAACUGUAAACAUUUUAUAAUCCAGUAAAAUCGAAACAGCAAAAUGUAUAAUAAAAAUUAAUCCACUUUGUUCAAAGAAACGAUGUAGAAAAUUAUAACGAAAAAUUAUUCAAUUUACAAGAAAAUAAUUAUUAAUA